CCUACGGGUGGCUGCAGUCGAGAAUCAUUCACAAUGGGGGAAACCCUGAUGGUGCGACGCCGCGUGGGGGAAUGAAGGUCUUCGGAUUGUAAACCCCUUUCAUGUGGGAGCAAAUUAAAAAGAUAGUACCACAAGAGGAAGAGACGGCUAACUCUGUGCCAGCAGCCGCGGUAAUACAGAGGUCUCAAGCGUUGUUCGGAACCACUGGGCGUAAGGCGUUCGUAAGCUGUUGCGUAAGUCGUGUGUGAAAGGCGCGGGCUCAACCCGCGGACGGCACAUGAUACUGCGAGACUAGAGUAAUGGAGGGGGAACCGGAAUUCUCGGUGUAGCAGUGAAAUGCGUAGAUAUCGAGAGGAACACUCGUGGCGAAGGCGGGUUCCUGGACAUUAACUGACGCUGAGGCACGAAGGCCAGGGGAGCGAAAGGGAUUAGAUACCCUUGUAGUC
rnacentral:rRNA from 1 species